AAGUUUGACCUCAAAUCAGGUAGGAAUACCCGCUGAACUUAAGCAUAUCAAUAAGCGGAGGAAAAG
rnacentral:rRNA from 1 species